GAUGAAGAACGCAGCGAAAUGCGAUACGUAAUGUGAAUUGCAAAUUCAGUGAAUCAUCGAGUCUUUGAACGCACAUUGCGCCCCCUGGUAUUCCGGGGGGCAUGCCUGUCCGAGCGUCAUUGCUGCCCUCAAGCACGGCUUGUGUGUUGGGCCCCGUCCUCCGAUCCCGGGGGACGGGCCCGAAAGGCAGCGGCGGCACCGCGUCCGGUCCUCGAGCGUAUGGGGCUUUGUCACCCGCUCUGUAGGCCCGGCCGGCGCUUGCCGAUCAACCCAAAUUUUUAUCCAGGUUGACCUCGGAUCAGGUAGGGAUCCCCGCUGAACUUAAGCAUAUCAAUAAGCGGAGGA
rnacentral:misc_RNA from 1 species